CCCUGAGUACGGAAUAACUGAGGGAAACUUCAGCUAAUACCGUAUGAGCCCCGAGAGGGGGAAAGAUUUAUCGGCCUUGGGAGCGGCCCGCGUCGGAUUAGCUAGUUGUGGGUAACGGCCUACCAAGGCUUCGAUCCGUAGCUGGUCUGAGAGGACGAUCAGCCACACUGGGACUGAGACACGGCCCAGACUCCUACGGGAGGCAGCAGUGGGGAAUCUUGCGCAAUGGGGCAACCCUGACGCAGCCAUGCCGCGUGAACGAUGAAGGCCUUAGGGUUGUAAAGUUCUUUACCCGUGACGAUGAUGACGGUAACGGGGGAAUAAGCUCCGGCUAACUUCGUG
rnacentral:rRNA from 1 species